GAGUCUAUUCUGCAGUUAUAGUGUACUGUGAACCUCUUUCUUAAAGAUUUUAUCUUUCUGAUUGUCCAUGUAAUUUUUCUCCCUCCAUUUGUUGAUUAAUUAAUUAAUUAUUUUUUUUUUCAAUCAAGAGAAAUGCUCAUAAAAUGAAGAGAGAUUUUGGGUUCCAACUGUAUUGAAAUCCCUUCACGAGUUGCUACAUGCCUGAUAUUGAGGGCUUCUAAUUGCCAGGAUCUUUCGUUGAUUUGUGAUGGAUUUA
rnacentral:misc_RNA from 1 species